rnacentral:rRNA from 1 species
UUUUGAUAGAAAUUAUCAUCAGUAAAAUCUGCUCCAUGAUAUCAUAAAUAGCCGCUCACCGUGCUAAGGUAGCAUAAUCACUUGCCUUUUCAUUGAAGGCUAGAAUGAACGAUUCAACAUUUCAAUUACCUUUCGAGCAAUAAUCUUUAAAUUAUCUUAAAUAUAAAAAGAUAUUUAUCUAUAAGAAAGACGACAAGACCCUAUUGAACUUAACUUCAGUUAAACUGGGGAAGUUAAUUAAUCAACUCUUUAAUUUUCAAUCUUAAAUAAAAAUUCCAAUACAAUUGAUUACAUGACCAAGUUACCAUAGGGAUAACAGAGCAAUUUUAUUCCAAAGAUCUUAUUUAAAAUAAAGAUUGCGACCUCGAUGUUGAAUAAUCACCUAAUAAGAGCAAAAUCUUAUCUAAAAGGAAGUCUGUUCGACUUUUAAAAAAUUACA